GUGAGGAAUAUUGGUCAAUGGACGAGAGUCUGAACCAGCCAAGUAGCGUGAAGGAUGACUGCCCUAUGGGUUGUAAACUUCUUUUAUAAGGGAAUAAAGUGAGGGACGUGUCCCUUUUUGUAUGUACCUUAUGAAUAAGGAUCGGCUAACUCCGUGCCAGCAGCCGCGGUAAUACGGAGGAUCCGAGCGUUAUCCGGAUUUAUUGGGUUUAAAGGGAGCGUAGGUUGACAUAUAAGUCAGCUGUGAAAGUUUACGGCUCAACCGUGAAAUUGCAGUUGAUACUGUAUGUCUUGAGUGUACAAGAGGUGGGCGGAAUUCGUGGUGUAGCGGUGAAAUGCUUAGAUAUCACGAAGAACUCCAAUUGCGAAGGCAGCUCACUGGGGUACAACUGACACUGAGGCUCGAAAGUGUGGGUAUCAAACAGGAUUAGAAACCCCGGUAGUCC
rnacentral:rRNA from 1 species